rnacentral:lncRNA from 1 species
ACUCAUACCCGUGUGGACCAAGCGGUUGAGAAGGCAGCCUGGGAGCGGGCAGGAAGCUUGCUCACCCGCUGGCGACCGACUGCCUUAUUUGCUGUCAUAGCGGGGAGGGUGAAUGAGAGAGUGAAAGGGUCGGUGUAAAGGGCGCCGGGGUCCCCAGGGGUCGUUGCUAGUCAGUCAUUUGUUGAGCACCCACUGUAUGCCCGACGCUGCCCUAGGCAGGCGCUUUGGAACGGUGAUCUCUGCUUCUAUGGGGGCUUACAGCCUAGUGGGACAGGUUAAACAAGUACUUUUAUUGCCUUACACCUCCCUUCUUCCCCUUCGCCUUAGAUGGAGAUUCUCCUCUUCGCGAAUACUAAACCAAUUCAAGGUCCCCACCCGGCACUGGGUGGCAGCGCUGGGAUUGGGCACCAAGGCGCCGAGGCCAGCCUCCGCUUCCAGCCGAGGGCGGUGACUAGGGGUGAGGACUGGCGCUGCGGUCACGUGAGGGCGGAGUUUGGCGGGCGCGUGACCUCCGUGUAGGCGGGGCCCUUCCCCUUCCUCUUCCCCUUUCCCUUCGCUCUUGGGCCCUCGGCGUCGUCACCAGCUUUUAUUGGGCACAUGGCGGCUGAUGCGCAGUAAAUGGGAGUGACAAUGGGAGUGACUCUGGGAGGCCACACUGCGAAGGCGGGGACCUCAAGCCAAACGAAGUGCCCGAAUGAGGCCUAAGAGCUGUAAACAGGUGGAAACGGGGACAAAGCAAAGGGGGGUGGGGUGGGUAAAUGCAAGUCAAUCCAACUGGAAGCAGUAAAGCCUGGGCUCAAAUGAACUAUACCUAUUUGGAAACUGCGCUGUGGAAAGAACGUGAGAGCCAGCUUUUCCUUUUGGGCCUAGGGUUUACCAACUGAAAUAGAGUAGGGCACUGGACAUGCCCCCUAGCCGGGCAAUGACACUGAAUGAUUUAAGUUUGCAAUCAGAAACAAGCAGUCUGUAUUGGCUUAGUAGGAGCCACUUUGGAGCCUGGGGUGGGGUCGCCUUAUGUCCCUUUCACAUCCGCUUGCUGUUCCUGAAACAAGUUUCCACAAUCACAAGGCUGGAAAAGUUAGCCCAUGGGACUGAGGGGUGAGUCACAAGAACAUGAGCUACAGGGAACUGCUUGGCCUCCUUGGCUGGAACAAUCAGAUACCACCCUUUGCUUCCCACCUCCCAAGAGUCACCUCUUUGGGGAUGGGAGCCCACUGGGUGCUAAUUCUUCAGUAGAGUGAUAACUAGAAGAAACGGGAAUCCACGCUCCUCAGCCCCAUUGGAUCUGGUACUGGAAAGUAGAGAAGCUGCAGAAAGUUACCACGCCCAUGAGGGGAAAAAAACCCUUUGUAGCGCUCAGUUUAUGAACUGCACUUUCACAUGCAUUAUCUCAUUUUAGUCUGACUGAACACAUACUGUGUGCCAGGCACUGAGCCAGACACAAAAAUGGGUGAGACAGUGAAUUUUUAAGAAGAGCUUUCAGUCCAGUUGUACAGAGAAAAUAGAAGCUAGGACCUACAGUUUCAGGUAGAAUGAGGUAGGAGCUAUAAAAAAGGGGCGGAUUCCUAAGACACUUCAUAAGAGAAGGAUAUCAUAGCCAGCUGGGUAGGAUGGGGGAAAUCAGGAAAAGUUUAAUGGAGGGAAAGUUGUAGGAGUAAAAGCUUGAAUGAUAGGAAAGUUUUCAAAGAAAUAGGCAUGUAGAGCCCUAUUUUUUGCCCAUAGAACCUCUUACCCAAGUAAGUUAAUCUAUUUUCAUGUCUUUGACAAGUAGCAGUAAUAAAAAUAAUAACAGUGAUUGAGCACUUAUUAUGGAUCAGGAAUGGUUUCAAGUGAUUAAUUUGUAACAUUUAUUUAAAUCUCACAGCAACCCAUUUUACACAUGAAGUGACUGAGUCUUGAAGAAGUUAAGGUACUCUCUCGGCUGAUGUCUCACAAGUUUUCUCUUGUCUCUGGCCUAGGCAUUGGCCUGAGCCCCAGCUUCAUUCAUCCAGCUGCCUACCAGGUAGUUCCUCUGGAAUAUCCUCCAGGUAUCUAGUAAAGAAGUGUUAUCUCUCCUUAUCAAAAGAAAACCAGUGACCUCUAGGGUUGCACCGGGUCCACCACACCUGACUGUGCAGUUACCCCUGGGGAGCAAAACACUCCUCUCUACUUUCGAUGCCCCAAAGAAUGCAUCAGUGAGCUUUCCCUUUUUCAAGGUUAGCACAAGCCUUGUGAGUCAAGGGACUUCCCUGGUGGUCCAGUGAUUAAGACUCUGCACUUCCACUGCAGGGGGCGUGAGUUCGAUCCCUGGUCGGGGAACUAAGAUCCCAGAUGUGGUACGGCCAAAAAAAAACAAGACUAAUGAGUCAAGCAGGCCUUUAAUGAAGUUAGGAGAUCACAGAUAAAUACAUUUCUGGUUCUUCUGAUCUAUACAACUCAAACUCUUAUGCAGCUUGGGGCCCUUUAUGAGUCUCUCCUUGCCCCGCCCUCCAGCCUUUUUCCAUGGUCCUUGGAGUUCCCAUGUCCCAAGGACGACGACUUCACAGGUGACCAACACUAUGAAUGGCUUCCCUCUUCAUAAAAACCUUCUCUCUACCCAUGGGGUGACCUCAUCCUGCUGGCCUGGACAGGAUGACCAUCUGUCAAUACCAUACGAGGGCUUCCACGUACACCUCCAACUCAGUUCAUCUGAAACGAAACUCAUCUCCUUCGGACGUACCUGGUGGCCUUGUCUGGCGCCACAGCACCACCAUCCAGUCAGUAGUACAAGCAUGAGUUUGAGAGUCGUUGACUCGCCUCCCUUUCCUUCGUCCUCUACCCUCACCAGGCAGUUUCCAAGUCCUGUUAUUCUACCUCUUAAGUAUUUACUAAAUUCAUCCUCUCACUUGCAAAGGACCCUGACUGGACCUCAAUUCUGCCUGCCUUCCAACUGGUUCUCAGCAUUACUGUCUGAGGGAGCUUAUACUGGCAGGAAGCUUUCUGAAGUGCAAAUCUGAUCAAGUCCCUCCUCUAUUUAAAAUCCUUUGAUGACCAAAUAUCUCCUGCAGAAUAAAAUCCAAAUUAUGGCAAUCAAGGCCCUUCACAGUGAGGUUUCCGCCUACCUCUUCAGCUUUCUCUGCUAUACCUUUGACCCAUACCACAGUAUUUGAUUUCCUGAAUGCACCAUUUUCUCUCCAUACUUUACACACUAUUCCGGCUACCAGGAAUGACUUCCCUGCCCUCGUUUGUACAUGUCUUCCAAAUCCAGCUCAAAUACCUCCCCUAAGUAGCCUCCCCUGAUCUGUACUGGCUCGGAUUUCGGUGUGCCUCCUCCUCUGAUCCCACAGCCCACUUACAGCCUUCCUACAUGUCAUUUAAUGCAGCCUGCUGACUCAAGUGUUAACUGUUGCUUCACUUCUCUCUUGUCCCCGCUUAACUGUGAGUUGAGAGGCAGGAGCUGUCUUGUUCCUCUCUAUAUCUCCAAUACCUAACAAAGAGUUUCACACACAGCAGGUGCUUAAUAAAUGUUUGUUGCAUUUAAGACAGGAGGAUGGCAUGACUGAAGACUCAAAGGGUCUGUCAAGGAAUGGACUGUACUGCGUGGUUGCCCUAGUGGCCAAGGGACGUGCAGUGGAGUUGCAUGGACUACGCCUGGAAAAGAGGUUGUGUCAGUUCUUUGAAGGCCCUGGGAGCCCUGCCCAGGAGUUUGGGCUUAUUCGGUGGGCAGUAGAGACCCAUGAGGUGCUGGCUGAUCAGUGCUGUGCCAAAGAUGGGAGGAUGGAUUAGAGAAGGCGAAGGCUUGGGUUAGAGAAAACAGGUAGCUAUUAGCUCUGUCUUACAGUUGAUGAAACAGUGGCUUGGGCAGAUGGUGACUACCCAAGGCCACACAGCUGGUAAGCAACGGAACUAGGAGUUGAACAAGUUCUGGACUAUGCCAAGUCCAGAGAUCUUUAUACCACACCACAGCGGGUAUGCAGUAGAUGGGGCUUCAAGGUUGUCCCAAUGUGAAUGGAUACUCCAUUAAUCAGGAUAGGAUAGGUUAUAUUGCAGACACAAUUCUGAAAUCUCUGUGGCUUAACAUAACACACUUAUUUGCCAUUCACACAAAGUCCACUGUGGCGCUGGACAUCACCUUAAGGCAGCUUAGCCAUCCAGGCUGCUUUGACAUGCUUCCACAGUUGCCACGAUAGGGAAAGAGCACUUGGAGAAUCACAUACCAGCUUGAUUUUGGAAGUGACACACAUUACUUCCAGUACGGUCCACUGGCCAGAACUAGUCUGAUGACCUCACUUGACUACACAGGGACUGGGAAAUACAAUCUUCUAUGUGUCCAGGAAGCGGACUAGGGCAGGAGAUAUUUGUGGGCAAUAGUAAUGCCUACCCAGGACAUCAGGAGCCGAUGCCUAUAGAGAAGGAGGGGUGAGGCCAAACAGUCUUGAGUGUAUGAGAUGUGCAAAGGAGAGAGGUUCUGCUCAGGAUUUGUGUUAGGUCAAGGCUGUUCUAGUCACAGGCAGCCAGCAAGGGAACCUCAUCCGGAGGAUAGUACCUUCUUAACCCUUUCCUGCUCAGCAUCUUUCACCUCUGCUCCAGCUGAGGGAGAAGUGAAGCAAAAUCUGUAAUGACCCUGAGAGGGAGGCAGGACUGGUACAGAUGACCGCAGUUUUCAGAUGAGGAACCCAAGGAAUGAAGACAUUCUGUGAUGUGCCUGCAUAUGCAGCAACCAAAGCAUUAAAACCACGGUUUGUGGAUUUUAGGCAUUUGCAGGCCUGUUGCCACCAUCCUAUGUGGGCCCUUCAUACUCCAUGUCUGCCUCUGCAGCACCUAGCAUGGGCCUAGUACAGAGGAGUGGCCAAACCCUGUUAGUAGUGAGCCAGGCCCUCCCUAUGCACUUCCCUCCAGAGCCCCUGCAUCUGCCCUACAGCAUAGCUGUGCAGGGCACACGGCUACGGGAGCAAGAGCCACCAGCCCCUGCCAAACCUCUGCAGAAAGGCACCAGGUGGGGAAGCCCUUUGGGGUAUGUGAGGAGGGCAGGGAGAGGCUCCUGGCACUGUUAGAGGGCGCUUCAAAAGGGAGGGGUAGGGCAGCUGCCCCUUCGGGAGGGAACUCUGGGGGGGCCGUGAAGGUGGAAUCCAUCUGUGCCUAACAUAGUGCCUGGGCAAGUUUCUGCUGUGGAAAAGUUUUCCGUAGCUGAAGGUCCUCUAUCACACUCCUCCUCCUCCACGCACACUCCAUCUGUUCCUGACCUGGCCUUGAGUGGUAUUUGUUUUUCUUGUGUCCCAGGAUCCCUCCUCUGGCUUCUAACCAGACAACCCUCCUGAGUCCUGGGGCUGCUUCUGCUUCUGACAGAGCACCUGGAAGAAAUUCUCACCUGAAAACCCCACCUCAGACAUCUCGAGUGUCCGCCCAGCAGGCUAACCGCCCUUCUUUCCUGCUGAGGUGGAGCUCUGGACUCCCACCCUGGCAGGGCCACACGAUCCUUCCUUCCCCUCCUCAGCCGACCGCACCAAAGAAAUCCAGAACCCAGGCCGAAGUAUCAGAAACGUGUAUUCUUUUUCUUUUAAUAGUAAACCUCUUUACAACAAAUAUAGUGAAAGAGUUUUCAAACAAAACUCAUAAGAAUCUC